GACGUAGGGUGCGAGCGUUGUCCGGAUUUAUUGGGCGUAAAGAGCUCGUAGGCGGCUCGUCGCGUCGACCGUGAAAACCCGCGGCUUAACUGCGGGCUUGCGGUUGAUACGGGCGGGCUAGAGUUCGGUAGGGGAGACUGGAAUUCCUGGUGUAGCGGUGAAAUGCGCAGAUAUCAGGAGGAACACCGGUGGCGAAGGCGGGUCUCUGGGACGGUACUGACGCUGAGACACGAAAGCGUGGGGAGCGAACAGA
rnacentral:rRNA from 1 species